rnacentral:tRNA from 2 species
GCCUCGUUGGCNCAGUAGGCAGCGCGUCAGUCUCAUAGUCUGAAGGUCGUGAGUUCGACCCUCACACGGGGCA